rnacentral:rRNA from 2 species
UAUCCUCAUAAGUUAGACGAUAAGAGGUACCAUCUAUUAUUUUUUUAAAUAUAGAUGGUGGCACAGAAUCGGAGGCCCCGACUGUUUACUAAAAACACAACACAGUGCAAUCAUUAAUGUGAUAGUAUACUGUGUGAAAUUUGCCCAAUGCCAUUAAUAUAAGAGCGGUCAUAUAUAAAUGUGACUAAUUGAAAAUCUGGUUAAUAGCGGUCUUAACCAUGAGGAUCCUAAGGUAGCAAAAUAAAUUGGCCAUUAAAUGUGGUCCGGUAUCAAUAAUGUAACGAUGGCCUCACUGUCUCUACAACUUGCUCAGUGAAAUUGAAUUACGCGUGCAGAUGCGCGUUACCUC